GCCUACGGGGGGCAGCAGUAGGGAAUCUUCGGCAAUGGGGGCAACCCUGACCGAGCAACGCCGCGUGAGGGAUGAAGGUCUUCGGAUCGUAAACCUCUGUCAGCAGGGAAGAACGGUCACUGUGCUAAUCAGCAGUGAAUUGACGGUACCUGCAAAGGAAGCACCGGCUAACUCCGUGCCAGCAGCCGCGGUAAUACGGAGGGUGCGAGCGUUAAUCGGAAUUACUGGGCGUAAAGCGCUCGUAGGCGGUAUGUCCAGUCAAGGGUGACAUCCCCGCGCUCAACGUGGGAACUGCCUUUGAAACU
rnacentral:rRNA from 1 species